UACGAAGGGUGCAAGCGUUAAUCGGAAUUACUGGGCGUAAAGCGUGCGUAGGUGGUUUCUUAAGUCUGCUGUGAAAGCCCUGGGCUCAACCUGGGAAUGGCGGUGAAUACUGAGGAGCUAGAGUGCGGUAGAGGAGAGUGGAAUUCCCGGUGUAGCGGUGAAAUGCGCGGAUAUCGGGAAGAACACCCGUGGCGAAGGCGGCUCUCUGGGACGGUACUGACGCUGAGACGCGAAAGCGUGGGGAGCGAACAGG
rnacentral:rRNA from 1 species